CGCCCCUGGAAGGCGCCUCACACGCCAGGAGCUCUUGCCAGGACUGCACUGGCUGUGGGACCCCUGGGCCAGGCCGGGUGCCAAGCAGACCCAGCUCUCCAAGAGCCCUCUGCCUUUCAUUUCCAUCUCCUGCCCUUUUCCUGUCCCUUCAGUCCCCUCUUGUCCUGUGGAAAUGAAAGAGGGGACCCCCGUUCUCCUAGGACCACUUUAGGUGGUUAGCAGGUAAUUUAAUUCUCUGAGAGCGGCGCAGGGCUGCAGCGUGGGGUCCAGGACUCAUCGCGGGCGAACAGACUGCACUUAAAUCCUGGCUCCUCUGCGCCUGCUAACUGGCUGGCAGGCAGCAGUGAGGAUGGAUGCGGCUUGGACGGGGGCCUGGCUCCUAGGAAGGCUCCGGCUUGCCAGGCGUUUAUAGCCAAGCCGGCCAGAUUUUUAAAAGGGACCGACCCACCCUCCCGUCUGUUGGAAUCUCUGCUUCUCUACGUGCAUGGGAGGCAGGGAUGGUGAGCUCCAAAUAUUAAAUAUAGAAUCUAAAUAUUUCUAACAACAAAUUUGGCAACUGCCUGUGGCCUCGCUGGCCUUCCCAGCCUUGUGUUGACAGCCCAGCUCUCAUCCAGAGUCACACGGCAUCCCUUCCUGACGGCUUCCACGGGCUGGAUACCACGCUGAGAAGCGGUGCUCUGUCUCAGGACCGGCUGGACCACAGGGCCGGCUAUUCUAACAUUCUUCCUUGGGCAUCAGAGGGGUUGUACAGGAUUAAGUACAGGCCCUUCAAAGGACACACUUGGUGUGCCUAUGCCUGUAGGUUCGAUCCCUGGCCUGGGAACUUCCACAUGCCAUGGGUGAGGCCAGAAAAGAAAAGAGAAGAGAAGAAAAGAAAAGAAAGAAAACUGCCUUUUGAGGGGAAAAACAUCCUCAGUGAAACUAAGGCAUAGUUUGAAAACCAACCGGUAUUAAUAAAAUAUUCCAGAUUAUAUUCUCUUUUAUAUUCUGAUUUGAAAUCUAUGAGAGAUGUCUUGAAAAUUUUGAAAACCAUGUUGGCAUUUUUGGAAUAAAUAUAUCUCAGUUAAGGCG
rnacentral:lncRNA from 9 species